CCGCAAGGUUGAAACUCAAAGGAAUUGACGGGGACCCGCACAAGCGGUGGAUGAUGUGGUUUAAUUCGAUGCAACGCGAAAAACCUUACCUACCCUUGACAUGCUAGGAAUCCUGCAGAGAUGUGGGAGUGCUCGAAAGAGAGCCUGGACACAGGUGCUGCAUGGCCGUCGUCAGCUCGUGUCGUGAGAUGUUGGGUUAGGUCCCGCAACGAGCGCAACCCUUAUCAUUAGUUGCUACGCAAGGGCACUCUAAUGAGACUGCCGGUGACAAACCGGAGGAAGGUGGGGAUGACGUCAGGUCAUCAUGGCCCUUAUGGGUAGGGCUACACACGUCAUACAAUGGCCGGUACAGAGGGCUGCCAACCCGCGAGGGGGAGCUAAUCUCAGAAAACCGGUCGUAGUCCGGAUCGCAGUCUGCAACUCGACUGCGUGAAGUCGGAAUCGCUAGUAAUCGCGGAUCAGCUUGCCGCGGUGAAUACGUUCCCGGGUCUUGUACACACCGCCCGUCACACCAUGGGAGCGGGUUCUGCCAGAAGUAGUUAGCCUAACCGCAAGGAGGGCGAUUACCACGGCAGGGUUCGUGACUGGGGUGAAG
rnacentral:rRNA from 1 species